rnacentral:rRNA from 1 species
UACGAAGGGGGCUAGCGUUGCUCGGAAUCACUGGGCGUAAAGGGUGCGUAGGCGGGUCUUUUAAGUCAGGGGUGAAAUCCUGGAGCUCAACUCCAGAACUGCCUUUGAUACUGAAGAUCUUGAGUUCGGGAGAGGUGAGUGGAACUGCGAGUGUAGAGGUGAAAUUCGUAGAUAUUCGCAAGAACACCAGUGGCGAAGGCGGACUCACUGG